AGUGAGAGAGAGCUGUGAAGAGGUGAUACGCAAUGGUGCAAUGUCAAAUCCUAAGAGAGAAAAAAUUCCCUACUCUACAUAAGAACGAGAGGGAAGCAAUGUUAGGUUUCAGUCGGAAAGGAUGACAUCUAGAGCCGUUGGAACUGCAUACUAUUUGUAUGAUGAUGUCGAACCGGUGAGUCUGGGACUAAACAUCUCACUCAUCAGCCAAUUGAUGGAGCACCCAGACCACACCAGGCAUGUUGAUGAAGUGGUAGAAUGAGGUAAGUCAGUUAUGCUCACCGUUCAUCACUCAUCAGAACAAAUAGAAGCGGUCCUUUAAAGGGUGCAGAGGACAGCGGCUGUAAGUAAUUGGUGGAAAUCUCUGUUUGCUGACCCCACCAAGGUUUCUGCAUCCUGGCACUUAUUAGUACAUCUUUUUACCAUCUUGUUUUCAUUGCAAUGUGUUAUGUUUGUAUUGCAUUUGUCUCAUUACAGGUGGGCUCGCAACAAUUUCAGGAAGGUAGACAAGAAAUCCAGGUGUGCUAUCCUAACUGGGUGUCAGUGAGGUGUGUUGGCAUCAGAUCCCUGUGUUAAAAAAGGGAAUCCUUGCCGACAAGGACGGGGGAGAUUUCUGUUUUGGCAUUAAUACCCUCAUGCCAUCUUGAAAUUCUGGCAACAACAACUAGGAAUCUAUCUUGGCUGCCCAUCUUCCCCCUCCUCAGGUAUAGUGUAGCCCAUAGGAUUACUUUGCUAGCUAUUAUAUCCUACUAAUCUAUCCAGCCGUAUCAAAUAAUAUGUUUCUCUUUCUGAAUUAAUCAGUUUUAUUCUUAUAUUUUAUCCAUAUUAAUUCCUAUGAAUUUAGGAUGUGUUGAGGCAUAUGAUAUGUGUUUCCUAAUAAUUAUACAUAGAAUAAAUUUUGCUGAAAUGCAAGAAGCCUACCAGCCGGUAAGAUCCGCUAAAUAGCUAAAAGUAUAAUCAGUUAAGAGUAAGUCAGCAUAAAAGCUGGUAACCUUUGGCACUGAUAGGAAUGGUCCCUGAACUUUGGGGAACCAAAGGGAGGAACUACACACAACACUGAACAGGUUUAUCUGGCGUCUGCAACCGGUUGAUAACCUCAGGGUAUACCACAAACCUGGAAGUCGCCAAGAGAGCCUAGGUUGGCAGUUUUUGGAGUGAGAUAAUCCUUAUUAAUAUAUAGAGAGUAAGUGUCAUAAUCCACUAACCUAUAGGAUAAGGGUACCCAUACAUUUUUUAGGGUAUGGAAAUAAGAUUUGGGUAUAGUAGGUUGGGCCUGAAUUACACAGUGUCAAGAUCCUAUAAAAUACCUUGCAAAGAAGAGAGCUUUAUCUCUUUCUUUUCUUUGUUCCAUAUUCUAUAGACUAUCUUUUUAUCUACCUAUCAUUCUAUCUUCUAUCAUGCUAUCAGCUCAGCUUGUGCAGUAUAGGAUAACUACUCAACAUUCCUAACUAUUGGGGAAGCCAGCACCAUCGUGUUAUCAGGCGUCCAAGGAGUAAGGCUGGUCCUUCAUCUCCUAUUAUCGGGUCCUCAAGGAAGGGUGUGAGUAUGUUAAGUUAAGGUACUUAUAAUAGGAAGGUUACACUAGGAGUUUUGGAAUUCUUUUACUGUUUUGCAGUUAAGUUUCAUAGCAUUUAUUAUUCUUUUGUUAAUCUCAAUAAAGUUUUUUAUCACUUUGGUAUUGUCCUCAGUGUAAGUGUUUUUGUCAAGUACCCUGAGAGUCCUCACCCGAUAUCGAACUCUCUGAGUUCUUGUACCCUGUAGUCUGAAUUGGACAAGAACCUAUAAAUCUUCUGGUUGGAUGCAAUCAGUGGCGAGCCAUAACAACUAACCCAUAACAUUCAGGUCAACAUAGUUGUCCGUCCCUCCCCAGCCCCCUUUCUACUGAAAAGGCAGGGAACCAAGUAAUCAUCUGGCAUGUAAUCUGCUCGGUAACAGCAGGGCAUAUAAGGGCUAGCACAUCAGAAGGACGGAGCUGCCUAUCCGAGUGGCAGAGUGCUGGACCACAGCAGUGUGUUCUACUCAGGAGUUUAGGCCAGAGCACCGUGCCUUGGGGUCUUGGGAGGGUUUAACACAAUUGCAUGCAAGGGUGAGCUUCUAGCUCCCAUCCUCUCACCUGGAUCUUACUUGCACCCAUGAUGCUGCAGGGAAGGAGAAAGAAGAAUUACCAGCAUCAAGCAGAGUUAUCACCUACCUGUUGCCUGAGGUCCACUCCUCACUCUGCUGAGUUACCUGGUCGGGUCCGGAUCCAUUCUGCAUCGUGAGGUUGUGAGGUUCCAGAUGCAAGCUGCAAGAAAUGGCAAUCUUAAACCCCGAUGAUAGAUGCAGGUAGGGAGAGAAAUCUCUUGACUGGUCUCCAGCCAUCCUAAAACCAGUCAACACUUUGACAUUGCUGCCAAGGUAGGUCUCAUCUGUUAAACAGGUUCACCAUCAAGAUCUUCAUCUUUUGUAAAUUGUCGAUGUCCUCCCUUCGAUGGUAAAUCCCAGAGAUCUUGGUGAAUUUGUAGAGGGCUGAGGCCUCAUGCAAAGGGGCCAGACUUUUUGUCUCUGUGCAGCUCUAGCCAUGGCCAGUGAGGUUCUUCGCCACCAAUGUAGUGUAACGUCGAAUCCUGUGGGGAGUAAAUGCUGAGAGAAUCACUAGUAAUUCCUUCAUGAAUUUCCUUGCAGGUUUGUCAGGGGAUCAUGCUGCACAGAACAGCUAUUCCCACUCCAGGCUCUUUCACUCCAGUUUGCAAUCCUGAAACCCCAAGUGUCCAAAGCACGUGGCAUUCACAUGGAGAAGCUUCUGCAGAGUUGAAGAAUGCUGUUAUGAUGCACUGUAGAAUCAACUCCCAGCAAAUUUUUGGCACAUUGCAGCAGGUACUGAUAGUGCUUCCCGCUGCAAGCAAAUCUCAGAAGUCUGUGGUGGCAAUAUGGAAGUAAGAUGGGAAUAUGGAGUUUUUCAAUAACCCACCUGGUAGCAACUGGCAGUAAAAGGGGCGUGGUCAGGGCACAUGAUGCCAAAUCCUUGAUCUGCCUCUGUGAGCUGCAGAGUGGAUGGGAGCAGCCAGAUGUCUAGAAUGUUGGGAGAUGCUGCUAGCAGAAUGGAAAUUAUUGGGCAAAUAACUCAAGCUAUGAUUGUUCUGUCUUAACAGUGGGCAUACAACAAUAGUUACCAUACCAGAGCCAACUUUUGUCCCAGCUACCACACGCUGCCAUGGAUUUCCAUGACUCUGCUCCAUAAAGGAAGACAGCCAUGAUGCUGUGUUAACAAAAAAAAUAUAUUCUGUGUCAGUGCCAAUUGUGCUAUUUUUUCAAAUCUUUUCAAGAUUGUGAAAAUUGUUUUCUCUGUUGCUUGACACCUAGCAUGGUGGUACCAGCAUUGCACAUCUCAUGCUCUAGAUAGCCUACAUUUGUCAACUGGCGCUAGCUUUGCACAUGAAAACACAUGUUGAAGUCUCUAAUGAGCUGCUGAUGGAUGCAGCCAAAAAGAGGGUUCCAUUUUAUAGCUGCAGCACUCUGUGAUUUCUGGAAAUGUGAAUUUUUUCAAAAGAAAAGAUAAAUGUAGGAAUGAAAUGGUUGAAAGUUCCUCCUUCAAUAGUUUAUAAGUUUUAUAUUAACAGCUAGAACUUGGAUUUUUUUUAUUGCACAUGAUGUUCUAACUAAAAGCUUAGAAACAUAUCCACCAUGUAUGCUUGUGUGUUUAUUUCUUUGGGGCUCUGCUUUGGAUCUCAGAGAGAUGGUAUAAUUCAUAAACUGUUCAGCUGACUAUGGCAAAUUGUCCGUUAUUGAAUAAUAGAGGGUCCUUUCUUCAGAAAUUCCCACAGGACGGGAUCAAGAAGGAUGGCUAGGAACACUCCAUGAGGAUUCCCCUUGUGAGUUUUCCCCAAUCUGUCUGUUUAAGGAAGAGUUUUGUUGCAUGGU